AUGCUUACUUCGGCAGCACAUAUACUAAAACUGGAACGAUACAGAGGUUAGCAUGGCCCCUGCACAAGGAUGACAUGCAAAUUCGUGAAGCGUUCCAUGGUUUU
rnacentral:snRNA from 1 species